rnacentral:rRNA from 1 species
CUACGGGGGGCAGCAGUGGGGAAUAUUGGACAAUGGGCGAAAGCCUGAUCCAGCCAUGCCGCGUGUGUGAAGAAGGCCUUCGGGUUGUAAAGCACUUUCAGUGGGGAAGAAAGCCUUGGGGCUAAUACCCUCGAGGAAGGACAUCACCCACAGAAGAAGCACCGGCUAACUCCGUGCCAGCAGCCGCGGUAAUACGGAGGGUGCGAGCGUUAAUCGGAAUCACUGGGCGUAAAGCGCGCGUAGGCGGUCUGAUAAGCCGGUUGUGAAAGCCCCGGGCUCAACCUGGGAACGGCAUCCGGAACUGUCAGGCUAGAGUGCAGGAGAGGAAGGUAGAAUUCCCGGUGUAGCGGUGAAAUGCGUAGAGAUCGGGAGGAAUACCAGUGGCGAAGGCGGCCUUCUGGACUGACACUGACGCUGAGGUGCGAAAGCGUGGGUAGCAAACAGGAUUAGAUACCCUAGUAGUC